rnacentral:rRNA from 1 species
UACGUAGGGUGCAAGCGUUUGUCCGGAAUUACUGGGCGUAAAGCGCACGUAGGCGGUCUUUUAAGUCGGGGGUGAAAUCCUGGAGCUCAACUCCAGAACUGCCUUCGAUACUGGAAGACUCGAGUCCGGGAGAGGUGAGUGGAACUGCGAGUGUAGAGGUGAAAUUCGUAGAUAUUCGCAAGAACACCAGUGGCGAAGGCGGCUCACUGGCCCGGUACUGACGCUGAGGUGCGAAAGCGUGGGGAGCAAACAGG